AUUGAAGUAUAAUACAUGUAUGGAAAAGUGCAGAAAUCCUAAGGGCACAGCUGGAUGAGUGUUCACCUCUUGCACACACCCAUGAACCCAGCACCCAGAUCCAGAAAUGAAACAUUAACACCUGAGAGCCCCCGCCCCCAUGCCCCUCCUCGUCCCCACCCUUCCCUCCUUUGCAUCCACCCUUGAACUACAGAUACAAUGCUGGCAGGAUUGCAACCGGUCAGCCACUUUGGAAACUGCUGGCAACGUCUCCCGAGCUGAACCUAGGCCCCCACAGGACCCGGAAAUCCUGCUCCUCGGUGUAGACACGGCAGAAAUGUGCACAGGUGCCUAGCAUGGAUGCAGAGAGAAAUUCUGGAAGGUUUGUGAGGGCCGCAAACUGGAAACCACGCAGACGUCCAUCACAGUGGAUGGAUGAAGCAACCUGGGAUGCUCACACAGUGGGCUUUCACAGCAGCGAGAACAAGAACAAACAGACAAGCGGCAGCCACGACGACGCUCACAAACAAUGUGGAGCAAAACGCGCCGGGCGGAGGGAGCGGACACUAGGACGACAUUCACACGCAAGGCCGACAGGCGGAGAGACCCAACCGCGCCAGACUGCCGCUGGGCUUCUUCCUCCAUUCUCUCUCUCCGUCUCUCCUUCCCUCCCUCCCUCCCUGCCUCCUUCCUUCCUUCCCUUCUCCCGGUUUUGGGAUUUCUGUUCCCCCCACGUAUAGCUUUUUCUCUGCAUCAGGAAAUAAUACCCUUCAGAAGGACGCGACCCGCCUCUACGCAGAGGCUCGCCCUCGGCUGGCACCUGUGACCUGUUUAAGCACUGAUGCCCUGGAGGCUGCAUGACCUUUCUCAUCGGUCAGAGUGGGCUCCGGGUCGCUGGCAGACGCAGAGCCCAGGAGGAAGGACCGCAGCCACCCGGCAGGGGAGCAGCGGGGAUCCGAACCCUGGGAUGCCUCCCGCUGCUGCCACCCCAGCCCUUUCACUUCCACCACAUUCCAGGGCUCGAAGCCAGCCUCAGCCCCAGCCCGGACUCAGUGAAGCAGACACUGACUCCACCCACCCGGAGCUGUGGCAAGGGUGGGGCGAGGGCAGGGAGAGUGUGGCGGAAUAUACCAUUUCCUACCUACUGUCUGUGACCUGGUUGUAAGGUCCCUCCCGUGGAAACAUUUGUGCUUCCGUCUGAUUAAAUUCCAGGAGGGGUGAUACCAGGAUACAAGCCUGACCUCCAGCGCUCAGCCAACACUGUAAAUGUUUCUCCCGUCUCUGCUAAAUUGAUAGGUGAAGAGAACCAUGACAAGGAUGGCAAGGGCCGCAUUGCAUUAUGUUAUGGGUUUGAAUUUUGAUGGUGAGGCCUUAAGAGGGUGUGGUCACAAUCACUGGCUCCCUCCUGUCCUUCCCCUGCCCGGGGGCUUGGCCGGUGGACCUAGCCCUGCCUGAGCGGUAGCUUAAAUGUUCUCCGCUGGUUUGCCCUCCCCAUUCCUGCCCUGCCCCUCCCCUCCACCACAAGAACAGCUUGUCCAGUCCUGGAUGGCGGCUGCCCCUCCUCCUGGGCUCGGGAGGGAGAAGACACGUGGAGUCCAUUCCAGCCGAGCCACAGCUUUGAUGAACGAGAACGAGAUAUAAGGUUUCUCGCUGCAACACAGUCGGGGUUGUUUAAGUGCAGCCAAACCUGCCCAAUUCUGUGCUGCGACGCGCGUCUCCCCCU